UACGGGGGGGGGCAAGCGUUGUUCGGAAUUACUGGGCGUAAAGGGCUCGUAGGCGGCCAACUAAGUCAGACGUGAAAUCCCUCAGCUUAACUGGGGAACUGCGUCUGAUACUGGAUGGCUUGGAUCCGGGAGAGGGAAGUGGAAUUCCCGGUGUAGUGGUGAAAUGCGUAGAUAUCGGGAGGAACACCAGUGGCGAAGGCGACUUCCUGGCCUGUUCUUGACGCUGAGGCGCGAAAGCUAGGGGAGCAAACGGG
rnacentral:rRNA from 1 species